rnacentral:lncRNA from 1 species
AUUCAUAAAUAUGUACUAUGUAUUAUAUAUCUAUAUUUUGAAUAUAUAUGCAUUUAUAGUUGAUAUUUUAAAUAGUAGUGUUAUUUAUUGGAAAUUGAUCUGUUUUUCUUUCUUUUUUUAAUGCUAUGGGGGUCUUGCUCUGUUGCCCAGGCUGGCCUUGAACUCCUUGACCCAAGCAAUCCUCCCAGCUAGGUCUUCCAAAGUGCUGAGAUUAUAGGUUUUAAAAUCAACGUGAUAUCCUGGAAAGUUUUAAAUGUACAUGAGGUAAGGAUGGAACUGUACAUCAUCAUCUUCAACUUGAUUGUUUUUAACUCAACAAUGUUUCAAAAUUUAACCAGUAAUUGUUUUUAACUCAACUAUGUUUCAAAAUUUAACCAGCUUGAUGUAGGUGGUUUGAUGUGGAUCCAUUCAUUUGAUGUGGAUAAUGAAUCCACAUAAUUCGUUUGAUGUGGAUAUAUAUAGUGUUCCAUUAGCUGUACCUUAAUUUAUCUUUUUUUUUUUCCAUUUUGAUGGGCAUUUGUGUUGUUCAGGGAAAUGCAAAUAAAAACCACAAUGUGAUACCACCUUAUUCCUGCAAGAAUGGCCAUAAUCAAAAAAUGAAAAACCAGUAGAUGUUGGCAUGGAUGCAGUGAUCAGGGAACACUUCUACACUGCUUGUGGGAAUGUAAACUAGUACAGCCACUAUGGAAAACCAUGUGGAGAUUCCUUAAAGAACUAAAAGUAGAACUACCAUUUGAUCCAGCAGUACCACUACUGGGUAUCUACCCAGAGGAAAAGAAGUCAUUAUUCAAAAAAGGUACUUGCACACACAUGUUUAUAGCAGCACAAUUCAGAAUUGCAAAAUCAUGGAACCAACCGAAAUGCCCAUCAACCAAAGAGUGGAUAAAGAAACUGUGAUAUAUAUAUAUAUGAUGGAGUACCACUCAGCCAUAAAAAGGAAUGAAUUAACGGCAUUUGCAACGACCUGGAUGAGAUUGGAGACUAUUAUUCUAAGUUAAGUAACUCAGGAAUGGAAAACCAAAUGUCAUGUGUUCUCGCUGAUAUGUGGGAGCUAAGCUAUGAGGAUUCAAAAGCAUAAGAAUGAUACCAUGGACUUUGGGGACUUGGGGGGAAGAAUGGGAGGAGGGAGAGGGAUAAAAGACUACAAAUAGGAUGCAGUGUAUACUGCUCGGGUGAUGGGUGCACCAAAAUCUCACUAAUCACCACUAAAGAACUUAGUCAUGUAAUCAAAUACCACCUGUACCCCAAAAACCUAUGGAAAAAUUAAAAAUGAAUUAAUUUUAAAAAUAAAAUAAAAUUAAGGAGGAAUAAACCAAGGCUCUGAGAAAUUCAGUGACUUGCUAAAGUCUCACGGCUAGGAAUCUUUGGAGCCAUGUCUGCAAGACACUAAAGACUGUUCUCUUAGAUUCUACAUUCUUUUCUUGUGAUAUCCAUGAAUCAAUAUUGAAUAAGAUACUGGAGGGUACCAGGCUGGAAGUAAUCCCUCCCCCAGAACUCCUCUCACCCCCACAAAAAACCCCAACAAGAUUGUAAUAAACAUUCGUUGUUAACAUGUAUAAAUUUCUUUAGCAUAAACCCUUGCAGGGAAGUUUUCAAGUCACAGGUAAUCAUGUAUUUCAAUUAACCUUGAUCUUUCCAUAUUGUUUUCCAGAGUGGCCACCAGCUGAUGAUGAGAUUCACUGAUCCUCACAUCCUCUCCAAUUCUUGAGAUUAUCAUGGCUUAACUGAGAGAUAUUACAUGAUUAACAAACUCAUACUACCCUGGAACCAGCAUCAGUGCUACGGUGGAACCAAGAAUUCACUUCUGCCUCCAUUGUCACUGCCACCAGCAUCUGUCUACUCCCAAGAAACUAAAGGACAGGCACUGGACUGCUACUGCAGAAACACCCACAAUUCCACAGGCUUGCUUGCGUUUUAAUGUCCACCAACAGUGGAGUUGGCUUCCCGGCUGUGAAUAGAUUCAUGGAAGAUGAACAAAAACAAAUGAACAAAUCAAUGACAACAACAGCAACAUCUGUGCAUACUAUAGAAGCAGAUGUGUAAUUAUUUUGUACAUUGGCUUAAUACUGAGAAAGAGACUGAAUAAUUAUUGCACUUCUGGCAAGUCUAUAUAUACUGUCUCCUGACGAAGGACCCUCCAGCAACUUCGGGCUGAAAUGAAGCAGAUUCACUCAAUCCGCACAAACUCUCAGAAAAGUGCAUCUGGAAAAAAAAAAAAAAAGUGACAGGGACUGAGUCCCAGAGAUAUUCCCCAGGAACUCUCCCCAAUCUGUGGUGCAAUAUGUGGUCUGACACAGCUGGACACCAGGCAGCACUUGGCCACCAGCCCUUCUGGCUGGACUCCUCCCCAAGGAAGCUGCCCAAUUUCCUUGUGGAAGAAGUGUCUGAAGGCCACCUAUGGGGAGCAAAAUUUGACGGAUGAAGAUUUUAUCUGUGAAUAAGAAAUAAAAUAAGAAAGUGAUAUCUUCACUUUGUAUCUAAAAUGUUGGAACUGUAGACAUUGAAAAAGUUAUCAAUGAAGCCCUCGUAUUCACCACCAUGUCCCUACAUAGGUUAUCCCUAAACCUCUGUAGAGGGUAUCUGUUUUUUCUGCCAUCAGUCUAUUUCCUGAAAUUCUGGAAAAAAAGUGUACACAGAAUUCCUGCCUCGUCCAAAAUUCAGCACGUGUGUUCUGACAGACGCAGAGUCCCCAGAUGCCUGGCCACUGUGAAUACCUUUGAGCCAAUCAGAAUCAAAUACGUGUGUAUGGAAAGUUCUGCCACAGACACGAUUGCCCUUUCUCUUGGCCUUUAGUUGGGAAUCACAGGCUGGAACUACUCCUGUCAUCUUGCCACCUACCAUAUGUAGCCAUACGGAUGUAUCUGAGAGCUAGAAACUGGGUCCUGGUGAUGUUGGAAUCCUGAUGAAGCUGUGCCUAAUCUCCCUUGCAGUUUACUUAGAAUUUGAGAAUGUUUUAGAUAUUUUCAAAUGAAAAUGCCUGAGUUUAAGUAUUAUUAUCUUGCCAGAUCCAUGCACCCAGCCAAUGAUGAGAUUAGAGUAUAACAACAUCUCCGUGUCUCCAAAGCCAUUGCUUUUCCGUGGAACCAUACUGUUAUCUGAGUUAGAAAGAGGGCUUUGGGAAGGAGAGGACACACAUUUUUAUCAAUGUGUUUUUUUUUUUUUUCCUGUGUGAGAAAGAAUGGAGUAGGACAACUCUAGAAUUACAUCUCUUGGGAAAUCUUUUAACAUGACCCACAAUUCCUUUUUUAACCUUCUUACAGGUUCAUCAUAUCAAAAUUUACAAAUAUGUCUGUCAAUCUCCCACAAGGAAAUGACACAAGCUCUCUAAUGAAAACAUUUUCUGAUGCCUUGGAAUUUUAGUUUUAGACCAUUCUGCACAAUGUCUCACAUACAUUUAUCUGGCUACAUUUUCAGUCAGGGCUGUAUUUUCAGCCUCAGAUGUGAAACAUUUUUCGUACCCCUUAAAAACUGUAGCAAGGUCACAAAACUCAUGAAUUUAUUGUAAUAAUAAAAAAUGUUUUGCCCCCUGUUUUUAUCAGCGGGCCUAGUUUCUAACAUUACAGACGUGAAUUUUUGCCCUCCUUGGAAAUUCUUGCCAAUUUCUUUGUCAUCCACCUUCAAUUAUUGGUUCACAAACUAGAUACAGGACUAACAGAGGCCACAUCACCUCUGGAUAUAAAAGAAAGUUCAUUUCCCUUUCAUGUUAUACUUCUUUUCAGGGUGAGAGAGGAAAUGUACUAAAAGUACUUAGCUCUCUUAGAGAUAGCUAGUUUUUCAACCAAAUAAUAAUAAUAAUAAUAAUCAAACAAAACCAUUUUGUGUCUAUUGGGAUCUUUGGAUGUUUGAUAGCCUCAUAUACAUAUCCAACCUAAUAAAAAUUUAUCUUAUUUGUACAGGAUUUCAGCAUUUACAGAAAACUUUCACGAAAUUUAUCUCAUUUAUUUCUCUUUUCAAUCCUAUAGUGUUGAUAUUGUUAUUAUUCCUAUUUUAGAGAUUAAUAUUAGGAGACUCAGGGAUUAAGUGAUUUGUUCAAAACUUUUCAACCUCUUCAGUGGUAGGACUGUAUUUUACACUCAAAUGUUCUGAUUAGUGUUCAGACAUUUCAUGGUUACAAAUAGCUUAUUCGGUACCUGGAUAGUUUUGGAGAGGAGAAGUCGAAGUUAGAAUGCCUCCAUGUUGCUUCUUUUCUCUAGGUUAAAGUGAGUGGAUUUUCUAAAUGUCUGAGAACAGAUUGUAGUGUUUCCUGUUUAUAGUGAUCCCUUUGGGGAACCACAGAAAUUCUGAUUUUCCUGACCAUUUGUCCUCCAUCAGGCCCAGAUGUUUAAAGGACGUUAUUUUUAUGUGCCAAUGAUUGCAGUAUUUGCAUGUGCAAAUCAUGUAAUUACUUAACUACCCAAAUUGUGCAUGCAACUAAACUUAAUUAUGAACUUAGAACAUUGCCUUAAGCAUCUGACCCUGGAAAAAUUAUGGUGGCAGAAAAUGAGUGUUAGAGUGGAAAUUUCUUGCAAGGCUGAUUUCGUUGUUGUCAUUGUUUCAUGGAAAUCUAUGUUAAGUUGAUUAAGUUGCUUUCUUUACCUCAGUUGGAACAUCUGAGAAUGAAAACAGUGCUUGUACUACCUACUUUCACUGGGUCAUGAGGAGAAAAUUGAGACCAUGCAUAAAAGUGAUUUGGAAAAAAAUUAUAAAACAUGAAAAAAGGUAUUCUUUUUUUUUUUUUGAGACAGGAUCUCACUCUGUUGCCCAGGCUGGAGUGCAAUGGGAUGACCACUGCUUACUGCAGCCUCGACUUCCUGGGCUUAAGUGAUUCUCCCACCUCAAACACCUGAGUAGCUAGAACUAUAGAUUCACACCACCAUGCCCGGCUAAUUUAAAAAAAAAUGUAGAGUCAAGGUCUGGCUAUGUUGCCAAGGCUGGUCUUGAACUCCUGAGCUCAAGAGAUCCUCCUGCCUCAGCCUCCAAAUGUGUUAGAAUUACAGGCAUGAGCCACAGUGCCUGGCCAAAAAAGGAAAUAUUAUUUUUGAAUGGCCUCAUUAAACUCCAUUUUUGAAAUAUGUAGAAAUUAACAUUUUAUAUGAAUCUUUUGUUCAUCUACCCAAAUACUAUACGUCAUACUACGAUAAAAUUUGAAAAAUAAAAUUGUAAAAAAAAAAGGAAUAUUAUUGUUAUUUAUCUUUAGGCUGCAUAACAAUUUCUCAUUUCCCUCUUCUAACAAUACUAUGUGGCAUAUAGAGAAGGAAAAGUUAGCUACAUACAGUUCACAUAUAUGGAAACUGAAGCUCAGUUCAUUUAAAGGACUUAACGUUAGUUACAUGAGAGUUUAAGAGGCAGAUUGAUAAUUUAGCACCAGGUUGUGUGACUCCAAUGUCAAUAACUUAGACAUUCCUGAUAAAGAGACCAUGUUCUUUGCCAUCAGUAGUUAUAGACAUGUUUGAGUCAGCCACUCAAUGUAUUUAAAAAUGUAUACUUUCCAAUAAUUUAAGGAAUGUAAUACCUUGUCUUGAAUUAACUUGCAGAUUACGAUUGCAUUCUAUGUAAGAAAAGGACUUGCUAAGAAAACUAAUGAUAUACUUAAGAAGGCGGAGCCUCUUAAGACUUACUUAAGAGAACAAAUUCGAUGGGUUGUGAUUGUACUUUACCCAUUUGUUGAAACAGAUACAAAGGGUACAGGCCAGAUCCAAUUCAGUGAGCAGUUUUAGAUUAGGUUCCUUUUCCAUUGAGAUAAAAGUCACAUUACUCUCCAAGUUUUCUAUUAUUUGCCUAACCUUUCCACCCAAUUGCUUAUUACAGUGAAGUCAUUAUUGUAGUCAUUAGAGUAUUAUCGGAUAAAAGCAUGCAUACAUUUACAUAGUUCUUCCAAUAAUAUCUCAUUGGGUUUCCAAGCCUUUGAGCAACUUUGAAGGUUCUAAAGUGCUUGAAAGAUGGAAAGGUUUUGCAGUCUCUAGAUCCAAAUGAUGUUUUGAAGGUGAUUCAAGAGUAUGUGGCAAGACUGGAAUAUUUGUCCUUGAGUCUGACUCUACAUUCUGAUCUCUAACCACGGGGUGUUGCCCUCUCCCUCUGUGAGCACGGAUGUCUCCAGACAGAAAAAAACCAGAGAUAUCUUGGACAUUAAAUAAGGGUGUUUCAAAGAAUAUGGGCCACUAAGUCAUCUAUACCCAAUGACUUGGCAGGAAGUAGAAUCAUCACCUCCUUUUAGAGUCAUGAUAUGUCUGAAAUUGUGUUUAUUCUGGUAAAAUAAACAGUCAUUAGCAUGAUUCACACUUUUUCCAGCUUUAGCAAAGAACAGAUAAAUUAUCUACUAUUAUCCUCCUCUACCUUUUACCUCAUUUUUGAGAAAUCAAAUGUGUUUAUAUGAAUAGCUACCAUUUCUUAAGACUUUACCUAGUGCCUGUCCUCUUGCUAAACACAAAUCUAUGCCUUAUCUAAGCCUCCACAAUAGCCCAUUAUGAGUUAGGCAUUAUUCUUUUCCUAUGUUUACAGAUAAGGAAGUGGAGGUUUAAGAGGCUUAAGUAACUUGCCUAACCUAACAUUGUUUGGCUUUUAUUUGUAAGUACUUCUUUCAGUUACCUCUGCACUCUGAAAAUGCUUCAAUGAUGACUCCAAGACAGACAUGCCAAUGACAAACAUACUGAUACUUAAAUAGAUUUUCUUCUGUCUCCAUAUGUGCAUCAGAUGAAGACAUGAAGCUACAGGUUCAGCUCUUAUUGAAAAAUUGCAUUCGUGCCUUGAGUUUCUCCAUUGAAUAAUGUAGCAUUGAUAUAUUAAUUAAAAAUAAUUUGUGACAUUUUCUCAUCACCUAUGAGAUAUCACUUUGAAGGCACAGUUGUGAUAAUAAAAAGAAUGCUUUAAAGUAAAUUUGAAUUCCUUAGGAGGUAAGCUUUAUUUUCAAAUCUUUCUGAGUAAGAUUAUAGCAAGAGGCUGAAGAAAACUUCUAGCAUAGUGAGGUGGGUACACUAUGGAAGACUUUCUUAAACAUCCAGUGUCCCUGUCAAUUAAUUGUAGAUAGUGUAAGUUCAAUUUGUCUACAGAAUGAAUUUCAUCUUACUUGACAAGACACCAAGUUCUUCUUCCUUCCCUCAUAUUUAGAGGUUCUUAUUAGCUUAGAUCAGUGUAACAGACACUUACAGUCACCUGCUAGGCUGCAGCUAUGUGUUGGGGACUGAGGAUAUAAAGCUGAUGGAACAGUCCAACAGGGAGAGACAUAAACAUAGGGGGUAGAUGGAAUUUCAGAGCUAGCACUAAGAAAAGGCUCUCAGGCCAGAUUCUCCAGCUGGGGCCAGGUAAAGGAACUUCAUCCUAAAUCUGUUUCAUAUAAGCACCUCGAUUUUUCUAGUUUGGGGUUUCUGCCCUUAAUUUUUACAUAAUAGCUUGUUGAUGCAAAUAAAGAGGCAAAGGUUCUUCCUCAUUUCCCUCUGGGAUCAAUGGUGGAAGGUUGGUCGAUGUGAUGCCAGUGACCUGUGGUAGUAGCACAGGGGUCUUGACCAGCUCUAACAUGCUAGUAAAGUCCUGACAAGUUCAUCGUUGACCAGAAAAAAUAAUCUAGAGCAACAGUAGCCACUAGCCACAGUCGCCUAUUGAAAACCUGAAAGGAGGCUGGCGUGAGUUGAAAUUUACUGUCAAUAUAAAAUGCACAUUGGAGUUCAAAGACUUAAUAUGAGGAAAUAAUGUAAAAUUUAUAUGUAACAUUUUUAUGCUGAAUACUUCAUGAAAUAAUAAUAUAUUGGAUACGUUGUUUUAAAUAAAAUAUACUCUUGAAUUUAAUCUCAUUUGUUUCUUGCUCCUUUUCUUAAUGUGACUAUUAGAACAUUUAAAAUUACACAAAUGGCUCAUAUUAUAUUUCUACUGAAUAGUGCUGGUCUAGAGCCUUCCUACUCUCAUUGAUGUAACCCUUUUCUAAGACAUUUGCUUGGGAGAGAGAAUUUAUCUUUUAUGUUAAAUGGCCUCCCAAAUAGCAGAGAAACAUUCUGAACCAACACUAUUUUUCUCUUCCUGUUUCUGUACUGCCAUCUAGGUUGUUAUAAAACGUUUUAAAUAUUAUCUAUUAAAUACCAACAAAGUGUAGAAAUUAUAAAAG